AGAGUUUGAUCCUGGCUCAGGAUGAACGCUAGCGACAGGCUUAACACAUGCAAGUCGAGGGGCAGCGGGGGAGUAGCAAUACUCCCGCCGGCGACCGGCGCACGGGUGAGUAACACGUAUGAAACCUGCCCGUAGCAGGGGGAUAAGCGGAAGAAAUUCCGUCUAAUACCGCGUAACAACCCUUGGAGGCAUCUCCUCGGGUUUAAAGGGAGCGAUUCCGGCUACGGAUGGUCAUGCGUCGCAUUAGCUUGUUGGCGGGGUAACGGCCCACCAAGGCGACGAUGCGUAGGGGUUCUGAGAGGAAGGUCCCCCACACUGGUACUGAGACACGGACCAGACUCCUACGGGAGGCAGCAGUGAGGAAUAUUGGUCAAUGGCCGCAGGGCUGAACCAGCCAAGUCGCGUGAGGGAUGACGGUCCUAUGGAUUGUAAACCUCUUUUGUCAGGGAGCAAAGGGCGCCACGUGUGGCGUUUUGCGAGUACCUGAAGAAAAAGCAUCGGCUAACUCCGUGCC
rnacentral:rRNA from 1 species